rnacentral:rRNA from 1 species
CAGCCGCCGCGGUAAUUCAGAGGGUGCGAGCGUUAAUCGGAUUUACUGGGCGUAAAGCGUGCGUAGGCGGCUUUUUAAGUCGGAUGUGAAAUCCCUGAGCUUAACUUAGGAAUUGCAUUCGAUACUGGGAAGCUAGAGUAUGGGAGAGGAUGGUAGAAUUCCAGGUGUAGCGGUGAAAUGCGUAGAGAUCUGGAGGAAUACCGAUGGCGAAGGCAGCCAUCUGGCCUAAUACUGACGCUGAGGUACGAAAGCAUGGGGAGCAAACAGGAUUAGAUACCCCCGUAGUCCCUGUCUCUUAUAC